rnacentral:rRNA from 1 species
CGUAGCGAAAGUUACGCUAAUACCGCAUACGAUCUACGGAUGAAAGCGGGGGACCGUAAGGCCUCGCGCGAUUGGAGCGGCCGAUGUCAGAUUAGGUAGUUGGAGAGGUAAAGGCUCACCAAGCCGACGAUCUGUAGCUGGUCUGAGAGGACGACCAGCCACACUGGAACUGAGACACGGUCCAGACUCCUACGGGAGGCAGCAGUGGGGAAUUUUGGACAAUGGACGCAAGUCUGAUCCAGCCAUUCCGCGUGCAGGAUGAAGGCCCUCGGGUUGUAAACUGCUUUUGUACGGAACGAAAAGGUCUCUCUUAGUACGGGGGGCUCAUGACGGUACCGUAAGAAUAAGCACCGGCUAACUACGUGCCAGCAGCCGCGGUAAUACGUAGGGUGCGAGCGUUAAUCGGAAUUACUGGGCGUAAAGCGUGCGCAGGCGGUUAUAUAAGACAGAUGUGAAAUCCCCGGGCUCAACCUGGGAACUGCAUUUGUGACUGUAUAGCUAGAGUACGGCAGAGGGGGAUGGAAUUCCGCGUGUAGCAGUGAAAUGCGUAGAUAUGCGGAGGAACACCGAUGGCGAAGGCAAUCCCCUGGGCCUGUACUGACGCUCAUGCACGAAAGCGUGGGGAGCAAACAGGAUUAGAUACCCUGGUAGUCCACGCCCUAAACGAUGUCAACUGGUUGUUGGGUCUUCACUGACUCAGUAACGAAG